CAGUCGCCGCGGUAAUACGUAGGUGGCGAGCGUUGUCCGGAAUUAUUGGGCGUAAAGGGAGCGCAGGCGGGCGAGUAAGUCUUUCUUAAAAGUGCGGGGCUCAACCCCGUGAGGGGAGAGAAACUACUCAUCUUGAGUGCAGGAGAGGAAAGCGGAAUUCUUAGUGUAGCGGUGAAAUGCGUAGAUAUUAGGAAGAACACCAGUGGCGAAGGCGGCUUUCUGGACUGUAACUGACGCUGAGGCUCGAAAGCCAGGGGAGCGAACGGGAUUAGAUACCCGUGUAGUCCCUGUCUCUUAUACC
rnacentral:rRNA from 1 species